rnacentral:rRNA from 1 species
GUUAUAUUUGGAGCACCCGAAAGCAGGUGAUCUUCCCUUGUCCAAGUUGAAGGCUGGCUUUUUGCACCGCUGGAGGACUGCACUCGUGUACGUGGUAAAGUACUGAGGUGAGGUGGGGGAAGGAGUGAAAGGCUAAUCAAACUUGCCCAGCUGGUUGUUGAACGAAAAGCAUUUAGGUGCUACUUGAUAUUUAUAUAUGUACUUCAGGGAUAGCCUUAGGAGAGGGCAGAUCUAAACUGCAACUCUGCUGUGAUGACCGUCAAGGCACUAAUAAAUAAUAUCAAAGUUAGGCAAAGGGUGCGAAGGCCCUUUGCCGAGAAGGAAAAAACCUAGAAAAAACUUAACGGUCCCUAAGCAUAGAUUCGCUCAGUGGGCAUGGCUAUUUGUUAGCAAAGACACUCAGUAGAUAGGCUUGGAAACAGCCACUCUAGAAUGAAAACGUAACAGUUCACUGAGAUAGCUAGCAAAAUCCAAACAUUUACGGGGCUUAAGCCUAUCACCUUAAAGUUUUUAUGUGAAU